rnacentral:rRNA from 1 species
AUACGGAGGAUGCAAGCGUUAUCCGGAUUUAUUGGGUUUAAAGGGUGCGUAGGCGGUUUGCUAAGCGGGAGGUGAAAUGCCGGCGCUCAACGUCGGAAGUGCCUCCCGAACUGGUGGACUUGAAUGACUCUGCCGUGGGAGGAAUGUGUAGUGUAGCGGUGAAAUGCUUAGAGAUUACACAGAACACCGAUUGCGAAGGCAUCUCACGAAGGGUUGAUUGACGCUGAGGCACGAAAGCGUGGGGAUCAAACAGGAGUAGAUACCCUGGUAGUCCACGCAGUAAACGAUGAUGGCUAACCGCUGGGCUUAUCAGUUCAGUGGCCAAGCGAAAGCGAUAAGCCAUCCACCUGGGGAGUACGACCGCAAGGUUGAAACUCAAAGGAAUUGACGGGG